UACGUAGGGCGCAAGCGUUUAUCCGGAAUUAUUGGGCGUAAAGAGCUCGUAGGCGGUUUGUCGCGUCUGCCGUGAAAGUCCGGGGCUCAACUCCGGAUCUGCGGUGGGUACGGGCAGACUAGAGUGAUGUAGGGGAGACUGGAAUUCCUGGUGUAGCGGUGAAAUGCGCAGAUAUCAGGAAGAACACCCGUGGCGAAGGCGGCUCUCUGGGACGGUACUGACGCUGAGACGCGAAAAGCGUGGGGAGCGAACAGG
rnacentral:rRNA from 1 species